rnacentral:rRNA from 1 species
AUGAUCCCGAUUGCACGUAGGGAUGAAGAAAUGGCUCCUUACAUCCCAGAAUCGAAAAGGAACUAUGUAUUUGGUGGGAUUUCUAGUGUUGCUGCUAAUGCAUCAAUAAAGGCACUCGCACUAAUGAAGUCCAUCAACCUGUUGGGAGUUCAACAAAUAUGCAGAAACUCGAUAGCACUAGAACAGGCACUUGCAGCCAUACCUUCCAUUGAUAGUGAGGCAGUCCAACAGAGAUUAGAUCGUGUUCGGACAUUCUAUGAGCUACUAAACCUGCCUUUCGAGUCUUUGCUUGGGUUCGUUGCUGAACAGGAAUAUAUUUUUUCUGCAAAAGAAUACUUGAGCAUACUAAAGGUCAAUGUACCUGGUAGAGAGAUACCAAUGGAUGCUGAACGCCGUAUCUCACAGAUUUUGAGUCAUUAA